AUUAAAAAAUAAAAAGAGGAAGAAAGUUGCAAGACUAUUAAACAACGAAGGAAGAGGCACUGAUCACGGGAUGAAUAGCUUGAAUCGCAUUGAUCGCCAGAAAAUUAUGCAAUAUCUCAAACAAAAACUACCUGCCGCUAGUUACUUCAAACCAUCAUGGAAUAAGAAAAUAUUUGCAAAUAAAAUCAUUAGUCAAAACAAAAACAUCGA
rnacentral:lncRNA from 1 species